rnacentral:miRNA from 2 species
AGUUUUGCUGGUUUGCUUUCAG